rnacentral:misc_RNA from 1 species
AAACUUGUAGAGAUUGAUGCUGAUCUGCUUAAGCUGACCUCUGAAACGAAGCAUGUCAUGUCACUAAUAAAUCCUGCAAGGACCUACAUGGAUCUGAAUAUUGGUAUUGCUCUGUGGUUGGCUGCUAGCGGUGACGGUUGUUUGCAAGAUGAAACAGGCAACGAUGAUACCUGUGUCAGUGUCAAGUACAAAUCUGCAGCUCGGAUUCUCCUAGUUGGUGCUGGUGCAGAUGAACAAUGUGCUGGAUAUGGUCGGCAUAGGACAAAAUAUAGAAAUGGAAGCUGGUUAGCUCUGAAUGAUGAAAUGAAACUAGACAUGCAGCGGAUUUGGAAGAGAAACCUUGGGAGAGAUGAUCGGUGUAUUGCCGACAAUGGCAAGGAGGCCAGGUUCCCUUUCUUGGAUGAGGAUGUCAUUAGGAUUUUGCUAGAUAUUCCGUUGUGGGAGAUUGCUGACCUUAAUCAACCAAUUGGUAUUGGUGACAAGAAAAUCUUGCGAGAGGUUGCACAUUUACUUGGUUUGUCUGAAGCAGCUUCACUUCCGAAAAGAGCAAUUCAGUUUGGUUCAAGAAUUGCAAGAGAAUCAAAUCGGAAAAAUUUUGGAAGCAACCGUGCAGCCAAUCAAGCAUCUGCUGGAAGUGUAACGAUACACAGAAAUAACUCAUAAUCUACAUAUAUGUAAACUCCAUUCAGGAAUCAAGACCACAAGCAAAGCAAGCGUGGAAAGAUAAAAAGGCUCUAUGAUGAUUUGUCCCGCGUAUUAUUUUGAUGGACGAUUUUUGUGAGUCCAUGAUCGAGAUACUAUUGUCUGUCUUCAUGUUCGAUACAGUGAAUACUUGUCUUGAUCUCUUGGUUGAACGAUACUCGCGUUUUUUUGGGAGAAAAUGAA